GAAUGAGACUUACUCGCGGUCUCAGCAAUUACGAACAGGGCGAUGAUGUCUGAAUGGUAAUAAAUAUUAGGAUAAGAACAAAGAUUAAAAACUGAAUAACAACGAGAAAUUGAUAGAUUCGUUCCAGUUAAAAGUUAAAAAAAUAUCAAAAUAUCGCUGGUGAGCAUUUAAUGUAAAUUAAUCGAGUGCUCAGUGGAGCAACAAUAUGCGGGGGAUUCAUUUGCAAUUCCAACCGGGGAUAGGAAGAAGUAUCUCUCAAAUAUAUGCUGUUUUCUGAAUGAUAGUUUUCGUGUAUAAGGUGAUUUUCGUGAUGUUCAAGUUUCUCAACAAAUUUUGAUUGAAGAUUUUGAGCGUAUUUACACAGAGGGACAAUACCAGCUGUAUUGUAAAUACUUCUAAUUCAUUGGCCACAAUUGGAGAUAUAGUGAACCACUACUUUAUAUAGAAGUGGUUUAGUGUUUUGAGUAUGAUACGAUCAUGGCAACAACCCGUUCAAAUUGAAACCUAACUGCAAACAUAAAUGAAGCAUUCUACAUUUUGCAAUUUUAGGAAACAUAAAAUAUACUACUAGAUUAUAUAAUGUUAUGUCGUUGUUCCUUAAGCGCACCAUCGCCAUUGGCGUUUUGUUAAGUACAAAGGAGAUUUUUUCUAUUAUUAGGAAAAAAAUAGGUUCACAUUGUCCAGCAGUGAAAUUUUAUAUAAAAAAGUGUAUACCUAUUGUAUAUCAAGAAAUGGAAUUUAAUCACAAAACGUUAUAUCGAGUUUGACAAUAGUAUUACUAUAGAGUCAAAUCAGCUGAGGCUUGAUGCUACCUGUAAUAAUUAUACCAUGGGUU